AUAAGUCCUGAUUAUACUUCAACAGUUCCAAAGGGUUGCUUGGCAGUAUAUAUUGGGGAGAAGCAAAGAAGAAGAUUUGUGGUUCCCAUUUCAUACCUGAAUGAUCCUGCCUUCCAAGACUUGUUAAAUCAAGCUGAGGAAGAAUUUGGGUUCAGCCAACCAGAAGGCGGCCUCACUAUUCCCUGCUCAGUGGACACAUUCAUUCACCUUGCUUCACACCUGGAUAGAUCAUAGAGAAAAACAUUUAUAUACUGGUAGAUAGUAUGGCAUUGAAAUGUAAAUAGUAGAAUAGAGAUUUUAAUCAGAUUUUUGUUGGCAACGGAUGAUUUGAAGCUCACCAUUUUGUUGAAUUUAACUUUACCAAAAUUUAUCCAUCAUAGUUUCUUCUUAAAAAUCUCUAUUCUACUAUUUAAUAUAAAGAACUAAAAAAUUUGAUUGCCAAAUUAGUAACUUUUUCUUGUAAUAUAUGCACUCGUAAAGCAAAUUAGGGAUUUUGAAAUCUCCUUAUGAUUUGCAUCCAAUGACAUUCGCAUAGAAAAGAAAAUGAUCUGAAGACUGCAGGCUCUUCCUUAGAUUUUAGGCAUCCAGGAGAUUUUCUGAUUACAAUGAGACAGCAAAUUUUCUUCUGUCUUGGCUACCUGCUGCAUGUAAUGACAUAUGAUUCGAACUGUGAAUGUCAAGUCUGGUCAGAGUUAGAAAGUUAAACUUAUCUACCCAGAACCAAUAAAUGAUGUUCUUGAUAAAAACAGCAAAUUUCAGAGGCAAUGAUUGUUGAAUGCAGACAGGUUUACAUAUUAUCCUUUAGGUGGUACUAACAUAAAAUGGAAUGAAACGACAAGCUUAUCAGUGGCUUCGUGGCUUACAUGAAGACUACAAAAAAACCUGCACAACUGAAAUUGUAAGGUUGAGUAUGUCAACUGCUAGAGUGAAUUUGAAUAAACAAGUUCUUCACAUCAAUCCAAAGAGAUCUCGGUAAUCCCAGGAGAGCAAUAUGUAUGAAUAAAUAGAUGCUAAUCAAUUAAGCAAAAUAAAUUCUUCACUGAUAUGUAAAAAUAAUAAUUCUGUGUAAUGAGAUGGUUACUCUAAUCUUCCCUAGGUUAUCAAAUGGAAGCGGAUUGAGUAGUAUACAGUACAAACCAGAACCUUACAAAAUUGUUAGUACCAGAUUAUAGCUACUUGUUUCUUAUAUCUGCGCAAGACUAAACUGAGGUUAACCAAUGUCUUCUCUACACGGAAAAGCCACUUCAAACAAUAAAGACAUAGAAAUUGCUCUUCUUUUGAACAAUUACAUUUGUGAUCGGACCAAUAAUGUAUAAAGCUGCUUAUCUAUAUUUCAAAUAAAAAUGACUACAUACUGAUUGCAGAGAUCAAAUCCAUGUAGAAAUUAAUGAAAUCAAAUUACAAAGUAUCAGCUAAUGUUCUACCUACAAGAUUUAUAUGAGAGCCAUAUAUAAAAUUUCUAGACUAGCUUACAAAAUUUGUACACUGUCUAACAACAUAUAUAUAAACUCUCAUAAUCUGUUCAAGAGAUCAAUGAAGGUGUCUUCUUUGCAUGGAAUUGUGAGGCCACCUUCUGGCUGACUAAACCCAAAUUCUUCCUCUGCUUGACUUAACAGUUCUUGGAACGUAGGCUCGUUUAAGUAAGAAAUCGGAACUACAAAUCUUCUUCUUUGGUUCUCCCCAACAUAAACUGCAAUGCAUCCCUUAGGGACAUUUGUACUACGAUCAAAAUUUUUUAAGGAAAAUUGUCUGUUGAGAAUUUGCUUGAGAUUAGUGAUAUGAGGCACACGAAUACCCAUGAUGCUCAAGAAAAAUUGAAACUUCAACGGAUAAUCUCUGGGGAUAUCGAAAAUACAAGAACUUCUGAAGAUGGAAGGCUUAGACCCUUAAUUACACUUGAUUUUGUGAUGAAAUUGGUUGAGGAUAUCACAGUUUUUAUAUAGAAAUGACAAGUAAUGAGUGGUUGAUUUAAAUGCAGAUUGAGUGGCACAGAUGCAUUAGGCAAUAGCACAUGCUAUUCUCUUUCAAAGGCCACACAUAUUUAAGAGUAAUGUCUGUUGAGAGACGUCAAUUCCUACUGCUUCUGUUCAACAAAUCUGGACCUGAUAUAUUCUCAUGUCCUACUGAUAGUGUAGAUAAGACAGAAUAUAACAUAAAAUAUACGGAUAUGAACAAGAUACAGAUAAUUUGGCUGGAAAGUCCUCACUUUGCCUGGAAACCAAGGUAGCAAAUUUUAUGUUGUUAGUUUUUGUGGUCAGUAGUUGUGGGUGGGACAGACAAGUUAGGUACUCAUGUGAUAGUGUUUUCAUUCACCUAGCCUAGCUGUUUAUUUUGUGUAGUAGGAAACACCUGAUACAAGUUGUUAUAUCCAUGAAAGAAAGGGCAAAUUUAUGUAAGAAAUAGAUGACUGUUAGGAUUUUGUGUGUUAGGAUUAUAAGUUUUUAUAUGUUUAUAUUCACAAAACAAAAAGUAAAUAAAAAUAGACGGGUGCUGGUCCCCAGCAUAUGGUUGCUGGGGAGGGUUUAAACAACAUACAGCUCCUGAACUGUUGGAUCAGAUGAGGGACGGCUGAGAUAAAAAAAAAAAUGUUCUCGUCCAGCGCUUAAAAACCGCUGAACGGUACACGUAGAAUUUUUUUAUUUUUUUUGUGUCCAGCGCCUAAGAAGCGCUGGAAGCACAGGCAAAUUUCAUGUGCGGCUCUGGAGCCUGUUAUCAAGUUCUCAAAAGGUUUAUUAGCCUUGUUCAUUGAAAAUAGCUCUCAUUCUUGUUAUCAUUUUUUCUAGAAGAUCUUGACAAGCCAAAUGAAUAUAUAUCUUCUGUCUGGGCCUUGGUGCCUCCGGUAACUCCCAAGCCAGGCCCCUGAUUCACCAGAAUUUUAUUAGGAGAUAAUUCCAAAGAUGUGAAGGGUUCUCGAUUUGCAAAAUUCAUAGCUGAAAGACAGAAAAUGCUAAAGAAGAUUUCUGACAGAUAAAUUAGAUAGCUCUUUUAUCAAAUUUCUUCCCAGCAAGUUGUGACAGUUGCCCAAUUCCAGUAUAAAUUAGGAAGAGAACUGCCACCAACUGGAAAUAUACUUUGAAGAUCCACUAGAAGCCAUGAAAAAAUAUAUCACCACAUCUGCUUCUGCUGCAGAAGAAUGAGAGCUAUUUUUAAGAUAAAUGAGGCUAUUAACCUUUUGAGAACUUGAUAAUAGGCUCCAGAGCUGCACAUGGAAUGCGGAAUUUCAGAUGUUGUAUAAGCAUCCCUCCAUCAUGCCUUGUAUUGCUGCAUCAACAUUAAUUUAUAUCUUCUCUGGUUGCCUGUGCUUCCAGUGCGUUUUAAGCGCCGGACACAAAAAAAUAUCCUCUCGUCCAGUGCUUAAAAACCGCUGGAUGUGUACCAUUCAGUGUACACAUCCAGCGGUUUUAAAACGCUAGACGAGAACAUUUUUUCUUCUGAUCUCAGCCGUCCCUCGCUAUAUCCAACGGUCCAGAAACCGUAUGUUGUUUAAACUCUCCCCAACAAUCAUAUACUGGGGACCAACACCCAAAACAGAUUGUUGAAAUAUAGCAUAAGGUCCAUUCUAGGCCUUCCUCUAACACUUUAAGGUUUCAGAUGGAUUGUUUUUCAACAUGGUAUCAGCCAUCAGGGCUCUGAUUUGGCGGAGGUCUCAAAUGUCCACGUAGGCAUUAAUUACCCCAAAGAUGGGCGCCCGUGAUUCCCUCUUUAACCCAAAAAUGGGACUCCAGACCGCGUCUUCACUAAUUCCUUGAGAGCCGUCAUUUUGGCUCACAACUUCACCACUUCUGAUGAAUGACCUUUACUUGAGCAAUCCUCCUUCAAUUCCUCAUGCUCCGACCAAUCAUCUGCAGAUGCUUUCUUCUUGCGUCGAAACGAGCUAUACGAGCCAACCGAAUCCUCCCUUCUAGAGCGUUCACUAUACGCUGAACCUCGAAAGGAGGAUUCGUAAUCCUCUGUUGGAUACUCGGAUGAAGCAACAUGCUCAUCCUUCUUUUUCGCAAAUUCCUCUUCCCAUUUCUCAGCCUCACGCCUCUGCUUCAUCUGAAACUCUAUCCGUCUCCGCUCGCGGUCAAGGGUGUCAAGUUCGCUCUUGAUCGCUUCACGGUUCAACUGCUCCUUAUCUUCAACAGCCAAUCUUUUGGCCUUAAGCUUCUCUAAAUGCAAUCUCGCAUCACCAGAAUGUGCCUUUUUACCUUGCGGCGUCACUGCCAGUGUGCGUGUACGGCGACGUCGCCUACUACCACCUCCGGUAGGAUCCGAAUAAGCCGGACCACCGCGAGAUUCACCUGCUCUAGUUUCGAACAGCUUUUUGUGUUUUAGUGUCUAUCUCCUUAGUUACUAUCACCUCUCGUGUUUCCAGAACUUGUAUCGUCUCCCUCGCUUCAUCUGCCAUGGUAGAUCUGCCCCCUCCUUCUAGCGCCAAAUGCUGAUCUGCCCUCUCCUUCUAGCGCCAAAUGCUGGAACAGUGUAUGUAUGUUUAUUACAGAGUGUAUGUAUCUAUUCUAUUCUCAGAUUCCAACCCUGUGUUAGCUGCUCUGUUUAUAUAGCACUCUGGCACGUGACUUCCUCAUGCUUGCUGUUUGGGCUUAUUCUUCUUUGGGCUGCCUCUCACUCUGGGCCAAGGCCCAACAACUUCAACAGUUCCAAAGGGUUACUUGGCAGUAUAUAUUGGGGAGAAGCAAAGAAAAAGAUUUGUGGUUUCCAUUUCAUACCUGAAUGAUCCUGCCUUCCAAGACUUGUUAAAUCAAGCUGAGGAAGAAUUCAUUCAUUCACCAUUCAUUCACUAUUCCCUGCUCAGUGGAAACAUUCAUUCACCUUACUUCACGCCUGGAUAGAUUAUAGUGAGAAAACAUUUAUGUACAGGUAGAUAGUACAACACUGAAAUGUAUAUAGUAGAAUAGGGAUUUUGAUCAGAUUUUUGUUGGCAACGGAUAAUUUGAUACUCACCAUUUUGUUGAAUUUAACAUCACCAGAAUUUAUCGAUCAUAGUUACUUCUUAUAAAUCUGGAUUAAUAUAAAGAAAAAAAAAACUUGAUUCCCAAAUUAGUAACUUUUUCAUGUAAUAUAUGCACUCCUAAAGCAAAUUCUACAUAGGAAGGGAUUUUGAAGUCUCCUUAUGAUUUGCAUAGAAGGGAAGUGGAUUUGGUGUAUGUUUGUACCCAGAUUUUACAGGCGUCAGGACACGACGUGAACUGCACUGACACGACGGGAAGUACUGGCGACAAGACAUGUAGUGGCAGAUGGAUAAGCAUGAAGACUGGGUCUUAACAAACCCACCUUUUUAGGGGGAGAAUUCAAAUGGAAGUUAGAGAGGUGCCAGGAAUAUAGGAGGAAGUUACAUGCACGUGGGAGUUAAGUGGAGAGAAAAUAGGAGUUGCAUAUGGGAUAGGACUCUUGGAAGACAAGUAUAUAUACGGAGGGCACAUUACACUACUUCUAGGUUAUCUCUACAUGCUGCAUAAUAGACUCUGAGUUAUCUUCUACUCAUUACAUUGUAGUGCAACUCUAAGAGAUUAUCAUCAAGAGACUUCUACACGCCUACAACUUCUUCUUCUACCUAAUACCAUUAUUUUUCUUACGCAUAAACCCCAAACCAAGCCCAAGAUAUACAAAUUGAUACACACACAUAUAUACAUAUAUUAACAUACAAGGAUUUCUCUUCUUCAACUUAUAUCAGCUGAGUUACACAUCUUCAUCUCCCUCAAAUCAUUCUGCCGACGGGUACAUAGAGGUGUCGACGGGUGCACACUGCUGUUGGACGGGUGCAUGCUGCUGUCGGACAUGAACUACUUCUGAAGCCGACGUCUGCGUAUUUUUGUACUUGUAUCUUGCUUUUAUCAUACUUGUAAGCUGAUGUUACAUCAUUAUAGUGGAUAUUUGGCUGGGACAUUCCCACCCGCGGUUUUUAACCUUUUACAAGGGGUUUUCCGCGUCACCAAAAUUGUUUGUGUUCUUGUCUUUUGCUCUCUAUUCGAUAUUCAUCUAUUUGAUCUACUAAACAUUCAUACAUUAAACACUUACUCCAUUGUUAUAGAAAUUAAAUAGGCUUGGCUUUUAACCCCGCAAAUUUUGGUAAAAACAGGUGUUUGACUGGUUGCUCGUUCUGGACUUGAUUCAUAUUGACAGCAGCAUAUCUAUGGGCUGAGAAUACACUGGUUCUAGUUGGUGACUUUAAAAUUCAGUAAUAUGAAAUAUAAUUUUCAUAUGGUGUUAGAAGUUGAGUUUUAGCAUACAUGUUUGAAAAGAGACCAUGCAACUAUUAAAUUGAUCGAGAGAAAUUAUUACACGCCACAAAGGUUUCCUUUAGGAAUCUUAAGUAUCCAAGACUGCAGGCUGUUCCUUCGAUUUUAGGCAUCUAGAAGAUUUUCUGAUUACAAUGAGACAGCAGAUUUUCUUGUGUCUUGGCUACCUGCUGCAUGUAAUUAUAUAUGAUUUAAACUGUGAUGUCAAGUCUGGUCAGAGUUGAAAAGUUAAACUUAUCUACCCAGAACAAUUAAAUGAUGUUCUUGAUAAAAACAGCAAAUUUCAGAUGCAAUGAUUGAGGAACGAAGACAGGUUUACAUAUUAUCUUGUAGGUACUAAAAUGAAAAAAAAGGGAAUGAAACGUCUGGCUUACAUGAAGACUACAAAAAAACCUGCACAACUGAAAUUGGAGGGUGAGUCUGUCAGCUAUUAGAGUGAAAUUGAAUAAACAUGUUAUUUGCAUCCAUCCAAAGAGUUCUCGGUAAUUCCAGGAUAGCAAUAUGUAUGAAUGAAUAGAUACUUAUUAACUAAGCAAAAGAAAUUCUUCACUGAUGAUUUCUAAAAAAACAUAUUUCUGUGUAAUGAGAUGGUUACUUUGAUCUUCCCUAGGUUACCAGAUGGAAGUGGAUUGACUAGUAUACAUUACAAACUGGAACCUUGCAAAAUUGUUAGUACCAGAUAAUAGCUAUUUCAAAUAAAAAAGUACUUACAAAGAUAUAUAAUACCUAAAAGAUUAAAGAUUGCAGAGAUCAAAUCCAUGUAGAAAUUAAUGUGAUCAAAUUACAAUUAAAGUAUCAGCUAUUGCUCUACCUAAAAGAUUUAUAUGGGAGUCAUAUAUAAAAUUUCUGGACUAGUUUACAAAAUUUGUACACUAUCUAACAACAUAUAUAUAAACUCUCAUAAUCUGUUCAACAGAUCAAUGAAGGUGUCUUCUUUGCAUGGAAUUGUCAGGCCUCCUUCAGGAUGACUAAACCCAAAUUCUUCCUCAGCUUGACUUAACAGGUCUUGGAAUGUGGGCUCGUUUAAGUAAGAGAUCGGAACUACAAAUCUUCUUCUUUUGUUCUCCCCAACAUAAACUGCAAUACAUCCUUUAGGGACAUUUGUACUACGAUCAAGAUUCUUUAAGGAAAAUUGUCUGUUGAGAAUUUGCUUGAGAUUAGUGAUAUGAGGCACACGAACACCCAUGAUGCUCAAGAAAAAUUGAAACUUCAAAGGAUAAUCUUCGGGGAUUAUGGAGAAUACAAGAACUUCUGCAGAUGGUAGGCUUAGACCCUCAAUUAGACUUGAUUUUGUGAUGAAUUUGGUUGAGGAUAUCACAGUUUUUAUAUGGAAAUAGCAAGUAAUGAGCGGUUGAUCAAAAUGCAGAUUGAGUGGAACAGAUGCAUUAGGCAAUAGCACAUGCUAUUCUCUUUCAAAGGCCACACAUAUUUAAGAGUAAUGCUAGGACUUGAAUGUCUGUUGAGAGACAUCAUGUCCUACAAAUCUGGACCUUAUAUUUUGUCAUUUAAAUUUAGGUUUUAUGCGUAUAGUGGAGUUAAGACAGAAUAUAACACAAUAUAUACGGAUAUGAACAAGGUACAAAAAAUUUGGGUGGAAAGUCCUCACUUUGCCUGGCAAGCAAGGUAGCAAAUUUUAAGUUCUUAGUUUUUGUGGUCAGUAUUUCUGGGUGGGACAGACAAGUUAGGUACUCAUGUGAUAGUGUUUUCAUUCACCUAUCCUAGCUGUUUAUUUUGUGUAGUAGGAAACACCUGAUACAAGUUGUUAUAUCCAUGAAAGAAAGGGCAGAUUUAUGUAAGAAACAGAUUAUCAGACUUACUACACAACUUUCUGAUUGUUCUAUAUAAACACAUAAUUAAGCUCACUGGUCUAAAGUCUUUUCCAUAAAACUAUACAAGUCCUAGUGUUUAUCCAGUUUCCUGAACUCUUCUCUGAAAGAUCUUUGGUGUCAUGGGUAUCCGUAUGCCUCCUAUUACCAAUCUCAAACAAAUCCUUAUCCGCUCAUCUUACUCUUUAAAUCUCUGGGGAUAUGGAAACUUCUGCAGGUGGAAGGCUUAGACCCUUAAUUACACUUGAUUUUGUGAUGAAUUUGGCAGAGGAUAUCACAGUUUUUAUAUAUUCAUUUAAAGAGAUAUAUUCAUACAUUCACCUGAAUUAAGCUAAAAUUUUGUAAUUUCCCUGAAAAGCCUUCCAAUCUAAUAAAAAUUAAAAUAGAUACCUUAUAUACAAAUUUUAUAANCACCCAUGAUGCUCAAGAAAAAUUGAAACUUCAAAGGAUAAUCUUCGGGGAUUAUGGAGAAUACAAGAACUUCUGCAGAUGGUAGGCUUAGACCCUCAAUUAGACUUGAUUUUGUGAUGAAUUUGGUUGAGGAUAUCACAGUUUUUAUAUGGAAAUAGCAAGUAAUGAGCGGUUGAUCAAAAUGCAGAUUGAGUGGAACAGAUGCAUUAGGCAAUAGCACAUGCUAUUCUCUUUCAAAGGCCACACAUAUUUAAGAGUAAUGCUAGGACUUGAAUGUCUGUUGAGAGACAUCAUGUCCUACAAAUCUGGACCUUAUAUUUUGUCAUUUAAAUUUAGGUUUUAUGCGUAUAGUGGAGUUAAGACAGAAUAUAACACAAUAUAUACGGAUAUGAACAAGGUACAAAAAAUUUGGGUGGAAAGUCCUCACUUUGCCUGGCAAGCAAGGUAGCAAAUUUUAAGUUCUUAGUUUUUGUGGUCAGUAUUUCUGGGUGGGACAGACAAGUUAGGUACUCAUGUGAUAGUGUUUUCAUUCACCUAUCCUAGCUGUUUAUUUUGUGUAGUAGGAAACACCUGAUACAAGUUGUUAUAUCCAUGAAAGAAAGGGCAGAUUUAUGUAAGAAACAGAUUAUCAGACUUACUACACAACUUUCUGAUUGUUCUAUAUAAACACAUAAUUAAGCUCACUGGUCUAAAGUCUUUUCCAUAAAACUAUACAAGUCCUAGUGUUUAUCCAGUUUCCUGAACUCUUCUCUGAAAGAUCUUUGGUGUCAUGGGUAUCCGUAUGCCUCCUAUUACCAAUCUCAAACAAAUCCUUAUCCGCUCAUCUUACUCUUUAAAUCUCUGGGGAUAUGGAAACUUCUGCAGGUGGAAGGCUUAGACCCUUAAUUACACUUGAUUUUGUGAUGAAUUUGGCAGAGGAUAUCACAGUUUUUAUAUAUUCAUUUAAAGAGAUAUAUUCAUACAUUCACCUGAAUUAAGCUAAAAUUUUGUAAUUUCCCUGAAAAGCCUUCCAAUCUAAUAAAAAUUAAAAUAGAUACCUUAUAUACAAAUUUUAUAAGAAGUUAACAGAAACUACCCUAAAAAUUUCACAUUCUACCUCAGAGAUCAGGGAAGUCAAGUUUUAAGGUGUUUUUCGUUAACAGACUGAGACUGGUAUUUUUACGGACAAAUAGAAUUUGCUAACUAAACGUAUUUGAGAUAAGAACCGAUUACAAAAAAUCUACAAGAACGAAUAAUUUCAUGUAUUCUUGAUGCCUAAAAGAUUUUCAUGGAAAGUCUCAGUCAAAUAUAAAAUGUCUGGACUAGUUCACAAAAUUUGUAAACUAUCUAACAACAUUUCAGUAAGUAUGUAUCUGUACAGAUAUAUAUAAGCUCUCAUAAUAUGUUCAAGAGAUCAAUGAAGGUGUCUUCCUUGAAUGGAAUUGUGAGGCCACCUUCUGGAUGACUAAACCCAAAUUCUUCCUCUGCUUGACUUAAAAGGUCUUGAAAUGAAGGCUCAUUUAAGUAAGAGAUCGGAACUACAAAUCUUCUUCUUUGGUUCUCCCCAACAUAAACUGCCAUGCAUCCCUUAGGGACAUUUGUACUACGAUCAAGAUUUGUUGAGGUGAAUUGGCGGUUGAGAAUUUGCUUAAGACUAGUGAUACGAGGAACAUGAAUACCCAUGAUGCUAAAAUCAAAAAUUUGUAGUAUUCAGGAUAAACUCUGCUGAUAUUAAAAUACAAGGACUUUUGCAGAUGGAAGGCUUAGAACUUGAAUACAAUGGAUUAUGUGAUAAAUUUGGUUGAGUUUAUAAUAGCUAUUUUAUAGAGCACAUAGGAAGUAGUAUUGAACAUUUGAUUGAGUGGCACAGAUGAAUUAGGCAUUAGCACAUGCUAUUCUCUCUCAAUGGCCACAUAUGUUUAAGACUAAUGGUAGGACUUAAAUGUUUGAGUCUUGUAGUGUGGAUAAGAGAGUAUACAAAAAUGUUUGAGUCUUGUAGUGUGGAUAAGAGAGUAUACAAAUAAUUUGGCUGGAAACUCUUGAGUUUUAGUUGUGACAGACAAGUUAGGUGCUCAUGUGAUUGUGUUUUCAUUUACCCAUCCUAGCUGUUUAUUUUGUUGAAUUGAUGAAUCAUUUAGUAGAAAACAGUAGCUGCUGGGGAUUAAUCAAGCAGACGUAGUAGGGCUUGAUGUCUCGCAACACACAUAAAUCUAAUCUUCUUGGUCAUAUAUACUUGUAGCUAUCAGAACAUAAUAUCAUGUGCUAGUGUCUACUGCUUCUUCACCACUCGGAUAAUAUUUCUAAUAAAUUCUUUGAGUAGUUCUAUGUUCUAUAUAUACAUAUAUUUAAGCAUUCGUAGAAUUCAUCACAAACUCAAUUGCUUCAAGCUUUAAACUUACAUUUCCUUGUGUUUCUGUUGUUUCCCCCCAACUUUUCACUAAAAGAUCUGUUGCAUCAUGGGUAUUCGUGUGCCUCGCAUUGCUAAUCUCAAAAAAAUCCUCAACCGGUCAUCUUUCCUGAUAAAUCCUGAUCUUACUUCAACAAUUCCAAAGGGGUGCUUGGCAGUUUAUAUUGGGGAGAGGCAAAGAAGCAGAUUUGUGGUUGCGGUUUCAUACCUGAAUUUUCCUGCCUUCCAAGAAUUGUUAAGUCAAGCCGAGGAAGAAUUUGGAUUCAAUCAUCCGGAAGGAGGUCUUACGAUUCCUUGCUUAGUGGACACAUUCAAUGAAAUUGUAGAAUCGGAUUAUUUUAUACAUAUACAUCUAGAGAGCAUAGCACCUUCGAUCUCAUUUGAUGAGCUUCAGAUUGUAAAUUGUAGAAUCGGAUUAUUUUAUAAAUGCUUAUUACAUAUUUACGUAGAGCAAUAAAAAACUCUGUUUUUAAAACAUCCUUUGACAGAUUGAUUAAUAUAGAGCAUCACGGUUAUUUGUAUGUCUGUAUUGCUAAUCUUGAACAAAUCUUGACCAGUAAUUUUGUUGAUAUAUCUGACAUGUAAAUGAAUUUUAAAUAUUUAUAUGCUCCCCUAGUCAGGUUAUGACAUAAACUCUUAUAGUCUUCGACUCUUCGUUUACAUGUUAAGCUAUUCUAGUCACUUCCACGCUGCACCAUGUUGAUAACUGACGAAAAUGUUAACAUUUAAUUUUGUAAUUGACCUAAAAAGAGAUCAGAUUCAUACUGCUUGUACAAAAUAACAAAAUGAAUGAUUAAUUUGAGUCAAACUGGAAAGGAAUGAUCAAUUUGAGUCAAACUGGAAAGGAAUGAUCUACUUGAUAUAUUUGGAUGAAACGAGUGACCAACUUGAUAUUUUUCCUAAAAAAAUAUCAUAGAAAUAUGGAGUAUGAAACUAGCAAGGAAUGGAAGUCGACACAGGAAGAAAGAUUGAGCAAAAUACAAAGAAAUGUUGAGAAUACAUAGUGGUUUGAUUUGAUUUCUCUUUGAUUCUUUUUCGAGUUGAUCUACACCAAACCUUCUUGUGAUCUAUGUUGUUUGGUUAAUUAUCUGUACAGACAAUUGUUCAUAUUAUAUUAUUAAUUAUCAAUGCAGCCACCCCCUAUUCUUUGGAAUUUGAGGGUACUUUAGAUCCUUUAAUUUGAUGAACAAUAACACAAGCAAACCUGAACAGAACUGCUGAAAAAAGUUCUCCAGUAAAUCUCCAAAUUCUGCAGCAGCAUAAAUUUAAUCAUAAGAAUUUGCUUAAAAUUUACCAAAUUAUACACAAAAUUAGGCAAAUGUAUGCAUAAAAUAAGAAGUCAGCAGAAUCACAAACUAAAUUCCGUAGAUUAUAAGAGCAUCGGAGUCCAUAAUACAGAUUGCCUACUAAACUUUGCCGCAGAAAUUUUAUAAAUCAAUAAGUGUUCUAUGAAGACUUACACAACUAAUUUGCUGUAGAAUAGACAAAAUGUUCCUCAAACAAAAAAUUAAAAAUAACCCUAAUAUCAGAAUAUCAUUCAACUGCCUUCAUAGACAUUGAUACAUCCUUAAUCCUUUGAUGUGAGAUUGCUAGUUAAAACAAAAGUUAGUAUUUGGCGGGCUAGAUUGUGGAUAAUACAUGACAUGUCCUUGUAAAAAAAGAAAUUUAAAGAAAGGACAAACUUAUAGGAGAUAUUAAAACCUUCACAAUAAACGGAAGAUGGACAACAAAAGAACUUUUAAGAAAAUAUUCAGAAUCCAGGAAUAGGCUACUAGUAAAGUUGAUCCCCGACCUUUCCUAAUGACAAGGUCUGUGGUUCAUAUCCACACUCCACUUCGCUUUGAAGUCCCGCGUUAUAAGCAUGCAUGUUUUUAUUCCUUUGCCUCAACCUUAAGGUUUAUGUGAUGGAACCUUGCAAGACUAUUUCAACUGUUGAUGAUUAGCAACUUAAGAAGCAGAAUCAUAUCGUUCCGCCAUAAAGUUGAAUGGCAAUAAAAUAAUGAUAAUUAGUCUGCAAGUUCAAAUUACAAAAGUUAGUCUGUAAUCAGAACCUAAAACAGCCUAAAAUAAUAUAGAAAAAAAAGGGUGCCUAAAUUUAACUGAACUGCUUUCUUAAAAAUGGCAGUACAUCUCCUUUAGUCUCAGAUUUUUACAGCUUGUGCAAUCACAUAUGCACAUAUCUAAAAUUUUAUGAGGCUCGUGGUUCGUGAUGUUAAAUGAGACCUUGGUUGUCAGAACUGUGCUGCUGCUACUGGACAUAAAAGAGAACUGUAUUAUUGUUUGCUGCUAUAUUUAUCGGAAUGUUUAACAUAGCAUACUUCAUUCAGAGAAUAUAGAAUAUGAGAUUGACUCCUAAAAUUGACAAAAUCUUGACAGCAGAUGCAAUACAAAUCUGGAAAAAAAGCGCAUAAAAAAAAGUUGCGGACUAAUGGGAAAAACUUUAGCAUUCAGAAUAUUAUGUAGACAUAUCACAAAACAGAAAAUCCUCAUAUUCUGCAAACUAUGCUAAAAUCUGCAGUAAAUCUCUGAAUUAUGCAGAAACCCAGACUCUAUUUCUCUUAAGUUCUUUUGGAUUAUAUCGAGAAACUAAGUUGAUCGAAAAACCUUUAUCUCGCACAUCUACUUUCUGUAAUUCGACUUUAAAAACAAACUAAAAAUUGCACAUUUUUCUCCUUUUUACCCUUAACAAAAACAUUUCAUGAAUAUCCAUCAAGUCUAUAAUAAUUAAAAUUUCAAUAGUAGAAAUUAACUUAUAUACUUGCUUAUGCGGAGAACGGAUUAUAGGUUAGUUUCUAACUAAUUAAUCAAUAUAUUUCCUUGUAUAAUUUAAUUUAUAGGUCAUUUAUUUUCAUGAAUAUUCUUCAAAAGGCUAGGAACCUGCCCACUGGCUCCAUAGCCAACACAGGUAGGUAAUUCGGAGUCUCGGACUAACCGAGCGAUAAGACCCGGUGGGUGGGAACUUCCUUGCGAUACGCACGGAUAGGAACCCGAUCCCCUUUCUUCUGUCUCUUCAACUCGGGUGAACGUCAGGGAGCUGGUGAGGUUCGAACCCAUGACCCUUUGGAUCAAAGCAAGGCCCCGUUUCCACUGGGACAGCUCUCACACUUAUUUUCAAGAAUAUUGCUUUACAUCAAAUCAAGUUAAAAUUUUAUAAUUUCGAUAAAAACCCUUGAAUUGGAAAUAAUUAAAAGAAAAAUAACUUACAUAAAAAUUUAAGAUAAUUAUGCAAAAAAAUACCCCAACAAUUUGAUAUUCUACGUCGAGGAUAAUUUAAGUUUCAAAGCAAAUAAAUAUUUAUGUUUUUAUCAUAUUCACAGAUGGACUUUGCUGUUUAAUUGAGUAUAUACAUAUAGUAUGUAUGAGUUUAUAACCAGUGAUACAGAACACCUUCAAGAAAGAAUAAUUUCAAGAAUUAACACUCAAAUUUUUUUUAGUACUGCAAUUCAUUUCUCAUACAAUGCUCAAGCAAGAAGUGAGUUAAAGGAACAUGUCUACUCUACAUGGAAUAGUAAGACCACCUUCUACAUGAUCAGAUAAAGAUUUCAAGAGAGACUAGCACAUGGGUCUGUAUUUAUGUUACCCUACUGCUUCUUGUACCACUAAAUACAUGCUUCAGACAAGGAUUAGAAUGUUGAUUUUAUGUUUGAUUAUGUUAAAAAUUCAAAUAACUGGACACCUAACUAUUAAAGGCAGAGCUAUCAGACAACUAAGAAAUUUGAUUAUCCUUGGUAUUUGUAGGGCAAGUUGUGUCUUGGUAAGCAGAGAAUAUAUCCCAAACUCCUCCAACCUUGCUAUACAUUCUCUAUUUGUAGGACAUCACCAUGUGCUACUGACUUAUUAUUUCGUUUUCAUUGUUCAAGAAACCUUCUAUAUAAACAUAGGGACUUUGACAUAAAUCAACACAAGCAUACAAGCAAACCUUCAUUUCUUUUAUCAAGCAUCGUCUCAUCCUUUCCUUCUCGACAUCCACUUUAAAAAUACCAACUUAGAAACAUGGGUAUCCGCAUGCCUCGUAUUCCUCAUGUCAAGAAAAUCUUUCAGGGGUCUUCUUUGGCAACUACAGCAGUUUCAGACAUCCCAAAGGGCUGCUUGGCAGUUUAUGUUGGGGAGAGCCAAAGAAAAAGAUUUGUUGUUCCAAUUUCAUACUUGGCUGAGCCUGCCUUCCAGGACUUGCUAUGUCAAGCUGAGGAAGAAUUCGGUUUUGAUCAUCCAGAGGGGGGUCUUACAAUUCCCUGCAGAGAAGAUGUAUUUACAGAUCUCGCCUCAAGCUUGAGAAGAAAAUCAUAGAGAAGAACAUAAUCAAAAAAGUAGUUUAGAAAUUUUUUGUAAGCUAGUAGGAGAUAAGUUAGAAUAGGUUGGACCAAAGGCAUAAUUAUGCAAAUACUUUCUUCUGGUAUCUCAUGGAAUCAUUUUCAAUGAGGAAGAUCAUUACUUAAAAUUUUGUAAAAUAUUAAACUAUAUACUUCCCAUUAUAAUUUUAUGAUCUAACUAUGUUGUUUGCAAAUAACUUCCUAUCUGUAAUCAGUUCCACGUUAUUCUCAAAUUGAUCGAAAUUGGCAUAUAAGAUUGUGUUAACAGAUAAAUUUAUUGAAAAUCGAUAUGGGAGAAAGAAGCCUCUUAUCUUAUAUUCCUAUAUUUCAGAAAGAAUUAGUCAGAACCUAUCUACAGUUGCUCUGUGAUCAUAUUUACUGUGAAUACUAAAUUGAUCAAGCAUCGACCUGCAUAAACAUACAAUUCUCCUGUAUUUCCAUCGCGAAGAUCAUUGCAUAAAAAGCGGUCAAUUUAUAAACAAUCUAUAUCUCCUAUUAUAUCCUUUGACCGGAUUAUUUAGCUUGAUUGCCUUCCUCAUUUACAUCAUUUCCACAUAAUUCAGCAAUUAAAUCAACAGUUGCAUCUAAUUGUGUGUAAGAAGUAUGGUUUCAUGAAGAACUUGAAUGUCUUUUCCCUAUAUAUGGUUUCUCUCUGACAUUUGUUUCUUUAGAGGGAAUUGAUCUUUUCCCUAUAUAUGGUUUCAUGAAGUACUUGAAUGACUAUCUCUAUAUAUUUGUUUCUUUAGAGGGCAUGCCGAAAACACUUUAAAAAGGUAAAAACAAUAUACUAAUUUUCUUUUGGACUGUUCUGUAGAAGGAUAUGUUCAUUAAACCUUUUCUGACAGUCAAUUUAUUUCUGGUGGUUUCUAUUUCUUCAUGUUUUAUCUCUUAGGUAGAAAAAACAUUGUCACAUGAAGACCUAAUAUGUGAAACCCGCCAUAAAAUUAUUGAUGACAUAAUAUGCAAAUUGUAGGACAUCACGUGUUUAUGUAUACCAUUUCAAGAUAAUGUCACUUUCUGUAAUCUAUUGUGGAUGAUUUGGGUAGAGAUUUGAUAAGUAGGGGCAUGCUGUCUUGCAACAGACAGAGAAGUCAUUCUAUCACUCAUAAAUACAUGUAGCUAUUGAAAGAGAAAAUCAUGUGCUAUUGUCUAAUGCCUCUUCACCACUUGAAGUACAAAUUGAUGAACUGUUCAAUAUUUUCUAUUUUUGUAUAUAAAUACAUAACAGGGCAUUAAUAAAUUCAUCACAAACUCAAUCAUCUAAAGUCUUCACCAUACAAGUUCUUUUCUUUCUCCAUAUUCUCUAAACAAUCUAGGAGUAUUAUGGGUAUUCAUAUGCCUCGUGUUACUAAUCUCAAGAAAAUCUUUAACCCGUCUUCUUUCUUGAUAAGUCCUGAUUAUACCUUAACAGUUCCAAAGGGGUGCUUGGCAGUAUAUAUCUUGGAGAAGCAAAGAAGAAGAAGACUUAUCAAGAAAGAAGACGGGUUAAAGAAGAAGGGGGAUUGUCUAUUACAUUACAAACUAGAACCUUCCAAAAUUGUUAGUACCAGAUAAUCUGAAGUGAGGUUAAUGAAUGUUUUCUCUACAUGGAAAAGCCACUUCAGACUAUAAAGACAUGGAAUGUAUAAAGCUACUUAUAUAUAUUUCAAAUAAUAAGUACUUAUAAAGACAUAUAAUGACUACAUACUGAUUGCAGAGAUCAAAUCCAUGUAGAAAUUAAUGUCUCAAAUAUAAAAUUUCUACCUACAAGAUUUAUAUGAGAGUCAUAUAUAAAAUUUCUGGACUAGUUUACAAAAUUUGUACACUAUCUAACAACAUAUAUAUAAACUCUCAUAAUCUGUUCAAAAGAUUAAUGAAGGUGUCUUCUUUGCAUGGUAUUGUGAGGCCACCUUCUGGAUGACUAAACCCAAAUUCUUCCUCAGCUUGACUUAACAGGUCUUGGAAUGUAGGCUCGUUUAAGUAAGAUAUCGGAACUACAAAUCUUCUUCUUUGGUUCUCCCCAACAUACACUGCAACGCAUCCCUUAGGGACAUUUGUACUACGAUCAAGAUUUUUUAAGGAAAAUUGCCUGUUGAGAAUUUGCUUGAGAUUAGUGAUAUGAGGCACACGAAUACCCAUGAUGCUCAAGAAAAUUAAAACUUUAAUCUCGGGGGAUAUGGAAAAUACAAGAACUUCUGCAGACUGAAGGCUUAGACCCUCAAUUACACUUGAUUUUGUGAUGAAUUUGGUUGAGGAGAUCACAGUUUUUAUAUAGAAAUAACAAGUAAUGAGCGGUUGAUCAAGAUGCAGAUUGAGUGGCACAGAUGCAUUAGGCAAUAGCACAUGCUAUUCUCUUUCAAAGGCCACACAUAUUUAAGAGUUCAUACGAAGGUCAUCGACAUACAUAUAAUGGCUGGAAACUGUCAAGUUCGACAGGCAAGGAAUCAAAUCUUAUGCUUUUAUUGGUCAAUAGUCUUAGGUGGGAUAGGCAAGUUUGGUGCUCAUGUGACGGUGUUUUCUUGACCUAUCUCAGCUGCAUCUUUUGUUGAAUUGAUGUCUGUUUAAAACAGAUUAUCAGAUUAAAUGGAUCCAACAUCUUUGACAUGGUCUAGCUGCAUUAUGUCAAAAUAUCAACUUGGAGCUGGAAGAAACAGUGUCACAUGAACACUUAUGAUUUCAACCCCACCAUAAUCAGUGCAGACAAACCCAAAACAUAAAAUCCAUAUCAUGCCACCCACCUAUUGAAAGAGAAAAUCAUGUGCUAGUGUCUAUACUCACCGCUCAAUGUAGAAUUUGAUGAGAUGUUCUACACAACUUCCUGAUUGUUCUGUAUAAACACAUAACUAAGCGAUACUAACAUUCAUCACAAACUCACUGGUCUAAAGUCUUUCGUAUAACUAUACAAGUCCUAGUGUUUCUUCAGUUUUCUGAACUCUUCUCUGAAAGAGCUAUAGUGUCAUGGGUAUCCGUAUGCCUCGUAUUACUAGUCUCAAACAAAUCCUUAAUAGCUCAUCUUUCUUAUUAAAUCCUGAUCUUACUUCAACGAUUCCAAAGGGGUGCUUGGCAGUUCAUAUUGGGGAGAGGCAAAGAAGCAGAUUUGUGGUUCCUAUUUCAUACCUGAAUGAGGCUGCCUUUCAAAAAUUGUUAAUUCAAGCCGAGGAAGAAUUUGGAUUCAAUCAUCCGGAAGGAUGUCUUACAAUUCCUUGCUCAGUGGACACAUUCAAUGAAAUCACUUCGCGCCUGAACAAUUUAUAUACUUUUAGAUAGUAUAGCACCUGCGAUCUCAUUUAUUGAGUUUCCGAGUGUAAACUGUAGAAAAUACAGAUUUUGUAGGGGAAGCAUAAUUUGAUACUCAAACUUUUUGAACAUAUUGACCAUCACUUAUGCUCAUGGAUACUUGUUAUUUUCUAUAAAGCAUAUCACUAAGUGUUUGCCGAUAAACUUUAUGCCUAAACCAAAUCGAUCACCAACAAAAUUACAGUUUCUGUAGUUACUCUUUGAUACCUAAAUCUUGCAAUCGUCUUCAAAAAUCAGCACUGACACAAGGUGAGUUUGCUAGCUCAAAAAUCAAAAUUAAAAUUUAUAAACAGUUCUAAAUAAUUUAUAAAUAUAUCUGUUGCAUAGUCAGUGGCGAAACCAGAACUAAAAUUUUGGGGUGGCUCAAAUAUUUAAUUAUAUUCCUAAGCAGUUUUAUUACUGAUGGUUACAUCAAAAAGAGAUGAAAUAUUGUUAUAUGAUGUGAACCCCACCGUGUAUCUCCCAGUCGAGUUAAACAAGUUUCUUGAUUCUUCCUUUUUUCCUGAAAAUAUCUCACCACUUUCUAAACAUUUCAGUGUAAGUUCAUAAUGUCUUUGUCGAAACAUAUCCUUUCUCUUACACGAAGCAUCAACCAAUUCACAAUACGACAGAGAUGAUCAAAAAAAUCACUUACUACAUGAGAACAUUUAGCCAUAGCAACAACUAAUAACCGCAAUUUCAUGACUCUCCUGGUGAUAUAAAGUAAUGCAAUAUCAUGACUCUCGUGGUAAUUUAAAGUAAUUCGAGAGUACCAAAUUAGACUACCACAAUUCAAUAAUUCAGAACUAACAAAAAAGUCUAAAUUAUCAUUCUAAUUUAAAGACUUCCCAUAUCAAUUCAGGAUCAAACGACAACAUAUGUGUUAGAGCACCUUUUAAACUCUAGUUCUCGGGCAUCCCCCAAUUAAUAAUUUCAUUAUACAAAAUCAUGAAAGAUACAAAAAUAUUAAAGACUAACAAUUUAUCCAAGAAUCAAGAAACUCAAUCACAAAAAGUGAUAAAAAUUUCUGGCAAAAAAAAAGUGAUAAAAAUAAAAGGAUAAUCAAUCAAUUUAAUCAAUUUAUCAUACCUUGAAAUUUGGAAAACAAGUGAGAAGUCAGAGUAUUGAGUAAACACGGAAACACUGAGUGAAUCUAGAGAGGGAAAUAGAAGGAUAACGUUAGGUGUACUUUAUUCUGACAUUUUAAAAAAUUAUGUUGACAUCUAUAAUUCAGCAGAAGCUAAAAAAUAUAUACACCGUCAGUGGCGGUGCCACACUGGGGCCUGGGGGGACACGUGCCCCCACAAGUUUCCCUUUGUGGGCCUCACAUAUUAGUAAUACUCGUAUGUUUUGUCAUUUGUGUCCCGAAUAAAUUACUAAAUCUCUCUAUGAAAUCAUCUCAGCUUCAGUCUAUUUCAGUUCUAGCAGUAGUUUAAGCAUGACCAUGCUUCUUUAGGAUUUGUAUGUCUAAAUCAGUUGUGGUAGCAAGUUGGUUUUUAAAUAAGAUUUGAAGGGUAGGAUGUUUAGCCAGGUCUGUUUGUUCCAGUUUGUAGUAGUUGCUGUUCGAAUUUGUAAAACUAAUUAAGUAAUAUAUUUUGAGUAUAAUCGAAAAAUUAAAAGUGUCCCCCUUGAAUAUUUUGUCUGGCUCCGCCACUGUACACCGUUCUUAAUUUCGAGGUCAUGGGUAGCUUUAGCAUCCUCUAGCCCCCUCUGGUUUCCGCCACUGUGCAUAGUUUAAUCUAUAUAAGUCAUUUAUUAUCGUGAAUACUCCUUUUGCUCCUGAGCCUAUGAGAUAUUAGCGAUGCGCGUAUAAGUAGAAGUUUACAUGAAAGUCUCAGUCAGAAUUACAAUUCCUAGACUAGUUCACAAAAUUUGUACACUAUCUAACAACAUAUAACUAUGUACAUAUCUGUAGACAUAUAUAAACUUUCAAAAUCUGUUCAACAGAUCAACGAAAGUGUCUUCUUUGCAUGGAUAUGUGAGGCCACCUUCUGGAUGACUAAACCCGAAUUUUUCCACAACCUAAGAGCAUCUCCAACGCGUUGGCUAUAAUCGAUGGCUAAACGGGACCUGUAAGACAUUAUGUAAAAUUUGUUGAACUUGUAAGACAUUUUGCUUCAAUGGUAUUGGCUAUAUUGGAUGGCUAUAAUUUAAAAAUAGUAUGUUAUUAAUAUUUUUUUUUGCCAGUGUAUGUUAUUAAUAUUUUAGAUUGUUAAAAUAGAAUAUAUCAGUAUGGUAAUAAAUGAUGUGCAAUCUUUCUAUAGAUUUCUUACAGACCUGUAGAGGUUCGACAAAUUUAGCCAUCCGUAGGAGGUUGGCUAAAAUUAUAGACAACAGCUGGGUAUGGUUGGAGUAUGUAUUUUUCGAGCUGUUGGCUAAUUUUUUUUAUUUUUAGUAUGCCAACUCAGCUAAGGGCUUUCAAUGGUUGGAGAUGCUCUAACUCAACAUAAAUUGCCAUAAGAGCAUCUCCAAUGGUGUUGGCUACAAUCGUUGGCUAAAUUGAACCUAUAAGACAUUAUGUAAAAUUUGCUGAACUUGUAAGACAUUGUGCCUCAAUGGUAUUGGCUAUAUUGGUUGGGUAUAGUUUAAAAAUAGUAUGUUAUUAAUAUUUAGAUUGUUAUAAAUAGAAUAUAUCAGUUUAAUAUGGUAAUAAUUUAUAUGUAAUGAGGAAAAUAAAUUGCGGGAAAUGACGUGGAAUUCACUACAGAUCUGGAGUGGUUCGACAAAUAUAGCCAUCCAUAGGGGGAUGGCUAUAAUUAUAGACAAGGGCUCACCAUGGUUGGAGUGCUCUUUUUUGUGAACAUUGGCUAUAGUUUUUAAUUAUAGUAAGCCACCUAGAUUUUUACGUAAAGGCUUCUCCUGGUUGGAGAUGCUCUAAGCCUUUUAAUUAACCCCUUAUUCUCGUAUAAUCAAGGGUGAAUAUAAGCAGCCAGUUAAUAUUAUUUAAUAAAAUUUCAGUUCAUUACUAUUAAAUUGAUGUUAAUUUGAUCAUAAAUAAUAAUUUAAAAUUAUAUAGUAAUCGUUUGUUAACACAGGUUUAAAAUUAGUAUUACUUAAAACAUAGUAUAUAAAUUGGAGAAGGGCCUGUUACGAUAUCAACGGCCCAACAUAGACACCCUUUUAUCCAAUCGUUUUUAUAUGGAUAUAUAAAAAUAUUUAAGGGUUUUAUAUCAAAUUGCUUAUUCAACUCUGCAAAAUAUAUCACGUAGAUAUUUGAUCUCCACGACUACUCAUUUAAACCACAACAAUAAUAUAUAUAAUUUUGUUGAUUUUUUUCCCAUACCCAAUAUUUAGCAAUAUAUGGUUGGUUUGUACACAGGGAUGUAUGCACACUGGGGCAGUGGGGGUACUUGCCCCCAGUGAGCUGCAUAGUAUUUAGUAACUUAUAGUAUACAUAUUUCACAAAUUGAGGACUUGCCCUCAUGGUUCAAACAUGGGAUUUUGGUGGAAUAAGCCAUAGUUCGACUCCUGGCAACAACAGUUUCCUCUUUUAGGCCUUCUCAUUUUUAAGCCUCUCCUGCCUUCCCCUCUUUUUUAUCUAUAUUAAUGUUUAGCAGUAUUAUUGCCUCUCCUGCCUUCCCCUCUUUUUUAUCUAUAUUAAUGUUUAGCAGUAUUAUUGCCUCUCCUGCCUUCCCCUCUUUUUUAUCUAUAUUAAUGUUUAGCAGUAUUAUUGCCUCUCCUGCCUUCCCCUCUUUUUUAUCUAUAUUAAUGUUUAGCAGUAUUAUUACUACUCAUAUUUAUUAUUAUAUUUAUAUUUUGAUUUGUAUUAUUUUAGUAGUUAUAGUAGCUCUGAAAUUAUAAAUAUCAUGUAAAAUUUUCCACGGUUUACACGGUUUUUAACCUAGGGCGGAGCGGUUGCAGUUCGAAUUUUUCACUAAGCUGCCUAUGCAGUUUAGAAAAAAACCACCGCGAUAGUUUUACUUGAACAAGUAGCUAGCUUUAUCUUUAUAUUUUUCAUCCUAGUUGAAGUUACAUUUGAGAUAGUAAGAGAAGCUUGAGUUGGAAUAUAAGUGUUUUCUUUGAUUGCAUUAUUAUGUUAACAGAAUUUCGUUACCACAUCAGUAAUUUCGUUAUCACAUCAACAUUGUUGUCCAAAAAUUUUAAAAUAAUUAACGAAAUGAUAUAUAAUAGUAUUUUAGUGGUUUAAAUGAGUCGUCGUGAAGAUUGAAUAGCUACAUGAUAUAUUUUGUUUAAUUCGGUGAGCAAUUUGAUAUAAAACCCGAAUAUUUAAUACAGCACACUCGUAGAAGCCAUCAAGUCCCUCCUAGAGUCCUAGGUUUAACAAAACAAAUUUGCCUACAAAAUCCGUUCUCUUUAACCCCUUAUUCUCAUAUUGAAUAAGUGAAGAACAGUAAGAAAUUUGACAAGCAUAAAAGGUGAAGAAUCAAGAGAAAAGCUGAUGGGUUCUAACGGGAACAAAAGAGGAAGCAAAAGAAAAGCAGGGAGACCCAAAAAUAAGAUGAAAAGAAUUGAUGAUUUGGGUAAAAAAAGUGAGGAGAUUGUGAGAGACAGUGUGGAUCAAAGGACUGUUCUUGAUUUGGAUGCCAUUGUUAGAGAUUAUAUCAGCAGAACCCGUNNNNNNNNNNNNNNNNNNNNNNNNNNNNNNNNNNNNNNNNNNNNNNNNNNNNNNNNNNNNNNNNNNNNNNNNNNNNNNNNNNNNNNNNNNNNNNNNNNNNNNNNNNNNNNNNNNNNNNNNNNNNNNNNNNNNNNNNNNNNNNNNNNNNNNNNNNNNNNNNNNNNNNNNNNNNNNNNNNNNNNNNNNNNNNNNNNNNNNNNNNNNNNNNNNNNNNNNNNNNNNNNNNNNNNNNNNNNNNNNNNNNNNNNNNNNNNNNNNNNNNNNNNNNNNNNNNNNNNNNNNNNNNNNNNNNNNNNNNNNNNNNNNNNNNNNNNNNNNNNNNNNNNNNNNNNNNNNNNNNNNNNNNNNNNNNNNNNNNNNNNNNNNNNNNNNNNNNNNNNNNNNNNNNNNNNNNNNNNNNNNNNNNNNNNNNNNNNNNNNNNNNNNNNNNNNNNNNNNNNNNNNNNNNNNNNNNNNNNNNNNNNNNNNNNNNNNNNNNNNNNNNNNNNNNNNNNNNNNNNNNNNNNNNNNNNNNNNNNNNNNNNNNNNNNNNNNNNNNNNNNNNNNNNNNNNNNNNNNNNNNNNNNNNNNNNNNNNNNNNNNNNNNNNNNNNNNNNNNNNNNNNNNNNNNNNNNNNNNNNNNNNNNNNNNNNNNNNNNNNNNNNNNNNNNNNNNNNNNNNNNNNNNNNNNNNNNNNNNNNNNNNNNNNNNNNNNNNNNNNNNNNNNNNNNNNNNNNNNNNNNNNNNNNNNNNNNNNNNNNNNNNNNNNNNNNNNNNNNNNNNNNNNNNNNNNNNNNNNNNNNNNNNNNNNNNNNNNNNNNNNNNNNNNNNNNNNNNNNNNNNNNNNNNNNNNNNNNNNNNNNNNNNNNNNNNNNNNNNNNNNNNNNNNNNNNNNNNNNNNNNNNNNNNNNNNNNNNNNNNNNNNNNNNNNNNNNAAAGGUGAAGAAUCAAGAGAAAAGCUGAUGGGUUCUAACGGGAACAAAAGAGGAAGCAAAAGAAAAGCAGGGAGACCCAAAAAUAAGAUGAAAAGAAUUGAUGAUUUGGGUAAAAAAAGUGAGGAGAUUGUGAGAGACAGUGUGGAUCAAAGGACUGUUCUUGAUUUGGAUGCCAUUGUUAGAGAUUAUAUCAGCAGAACCCGUGAAUUUCGCAAAGAUGGUCAAAAAAUUUGUUCUGUCAGUAGCAGUGAUGAUGAUGAACAUCGGAAUCAUGCAAAUAAAAUCAAGGACAAGGAGAUCAUUGUUGGUGGUAGUGGUAAAGAUGAUGAUAAUGAUGAUCAGAAUCAUAAAAAUAAAAAUAAGGACAAUGAGAUUGUUAUUAGUAGUGAUGAUGAUGAUGAUGAUGUUGCUGAGGAUGAUGAUCAGAAGAUUAGAGAUGAACAUGAUGUGGAGAAGGAGGCUACGGCCCCCCAAUGUGAAGAGCACGACGGAUAUCCUCCGGAAGAAGCUCUGUCUUCAGCAAAGAGACGCAAGAAUGGUGCAAUGGGAAAAGAUGAUGAAAAGAUUCAGAAGAUAGGGAGUAGGGGUUGGAACAAUAAUGAAAAAGGUAAAGAUGGCCAGACAAGUCGAGUUUGUAAGUCUGCUGGUUCUAAGCAAAAGGGUGGCGUAAUGACAGAUGAGAAUGUAUGUUUGCCUCCCUGUUCUGUUAUAUAACUCAUUAACAGCUGCAUUACAAUUCAUUGGGAUUUGUUCGCCUGCCACGUGACCGGUUUCAGAUGUCUUCAUCUCAUUAAUUGCUGCUAACAAGGCAAACCGAGAUCCGGUGCCCGUAAUGUAAUAUGUCUAGUCUCCUAGUGCCCUUUGGGUUAUAUGCUCGGCCUCCCUGUUCUGUUAUAUAACUCAUUAUUAUAUGCUUGGCAUUAUGUUUCUAUUAAUACCUGAGAAGCAUGAGAAAGGGUGUGCAGAAAUUAGGCAGCCAAUAACAAAACUAACUAAAGCAUGCAAACUGAAUCAGAUACAUUAUAUACGGAUCUAAGACAUAAGAAUUUACGUCAAACCGUUAAUUUUUGUUACACAAAUCUCAAAAAAAGAAAAAAAAUUGGUUGAGACUAAGACUUUUGAGUACCUAAUACAGGAGUGCGUAUGGAGGGACAGGGAUUUGUUAGGUUACAGAAUAAUCCAUGUUUCUGCGUUAAUACUUUAUGUGUAUUGCUUAUAAGUUUUACAAAUUUAUUUGGGUGUUUAUGCUAACAGGGAAAUCCGAUAUCAACUAUGUGUCACCAGUGCCAGAGGAAUGACAAAGGUAGGGUCAUGGUAUGCAAUAACUGUAAUAAGCCUCAACAUAAAUUGCCAUAAGCCUUUUGGAAUAACAAGCACUGUUGAACUAGCAAGAUAUCUGAACACAGAAGACUGAUGGAUACUUUUCUUAACAUGAGAAAUAACAGUCAUACGGUUUUCAUGGUGUAAUAACAAAUCGACAAGAAUGAUUAUAGAAUGAAAGUAGAGGUGGAUGAAAAUUUUGAUGGUUCGGCUAAUUAGUUUAUGUUGACUUGGUUGCAGUUCCCUUUCUCUGCGAUUAUAUAUAGAGGGGAAAUGAAAUAUCAUUUAAAUUAUGAAAUAUCCAGACGCCUUUCUCUUUGGCUCACCACAUAGAUUAACAACUCAGAGGCAAUAUCUGUUUCUGCUAGGAAACAUCUCAUAUUCCCAAUUGAUUGCUUAUGUGCACCACCUCAAAAAUUAAUACUUCUGCAUCAGAUAAAGAUUUCAAGAGAGGGGUUGCUGGUGCUCCAUACAAUAUUUGCGGAAAUCAAUAGACGCAGACCUCCAAGAUUUACAAACACCGCUAAAUGACAGGUAGUCCACGAUACUUAAUUUUACCAAAAUUGACACCAGAAGUUCAACAGGAAGAAUGCCCCAUGCUCCUCAAACUGUCACCCGAUCUCCUGCAUAUCCUUUUCCGUUCUCUUCCUUGUUUUACUGGUCGUGGAGCAUUCCUGUUAACAAAGAGGGAAACGAAGAACUCACCACAAAGCUAGAUUGAUCAUGCACAGUCAAAUGAAUUUUAUUUAGAAAGAGUCAGUGGUUUGUUGAAAACAGAAUGCAUUACUUUUACAGAUGUUUCUUAAGGACAGAUUCAUCCUUUGCAAGAUUUAAAAGAACUUGAUUUAACACAUAGAGGAGAAACUAGAGUUGGAUUGUUCCUUUUGCCAGUACAGUAAAAAGUUCUGCAGCUAGACAUUAGAAGAUAAUAAAGCUUACUGGAAGCUAAUUCACUAAAGGUUCACAUAUUAAAAUGAAAAUCAGUGCAUAGUUUAAUCAGAACUGGAUUAAGAGUGUGCAAACUUAACAUCUUUCCGAUAUGAGAACUUCAACGUCCCCCAGUAAGAAUGCAAUCAUCCUAAUGAACCAUAACUAGAUUUAUAAGAGGUAGUUUGGUUAACAUGUAAAUCUCCAGGAAUUUAAAGUUCCUAGCAAAUUGUAAGAUUUUUUUGUUGACCGCUAUAUGGAAAGUGGAACCUCCUAGGAAAUUGGAAUUUCCACAUAAUGUAGAAACUUGCUUAUGUCACACACUGGUACUGCAAAUUCCUACACCACAACCAAACAUGUUUUUUAACUUCCCAGGAACUUGAUAAAGGAACUAGGAGGCCAGUUGGAGAAUUUAGAAUCAAGGUCCAACUGGCAUAUGAUACUUUUACGAUAUAGCAGUCUAGUUUACAAAGGCACAACUAUAUACGUAAUGCAUACUUCAAGAGAAAGUAGGGAACAUUUAGAUUAAAGUUUUAGUAGACAAUGAGUGAAGUAUAUUCCAUGUUUAUAGUAGAAUUCCUUAGGGUCCAAUGGUGUUCUUUGUAUUGUUCUAUGUUUAUAUCCAUACUCUUGAGAGGCAAUCUCUCUAUCUCGGUGCUUAGUUGCUCUCUAUGCAUUUUAUUAAAUUUUUGGUUGUUGAAACGAUAAAUUUGUAUACGACAUAGUGGUGAUUAUACAAUACAGGCCAAGUAAUUUUUUGAACUCGUCUGAACGACGAGAAUGUAUGGGGUUUGCGGUUGUUAAGGAGAACUAGGGAUAUGGCUUACAUGCAUUUUGUCCAGGUAAGGUGUUGCUUGUAAUCAUACAUCUCACUACACGUACACCAUUUUUUGCUUACCUUGGAAUCCCUAGAUUUUUUUUUUUGGACCAGAUCUCUGUGAAAUAAGAAUCACCAACUGUGUGAUCUAGCAUUUACAACCAUACCUGCGACUUGCAUUCUAGAUUUGAAAUGAGAUUUGCUUGAAGUACUUAGACUCUAUGUCAUAUAUUACUAGAAAUACAAAUUAUUUUAUGUUAUUUCUCCAGACAUGUAGCACUCCCGACCAACCUCAAUGGUGUUGGAAUAUUGGGAUGAUUCUUAGAAGCUGUAAAUUUACAUUUGGUUAUAGAAGUGGAGAAGCAAUGCUCAUUGCCCAUUUAAAAUAAGUAUACAAGAUAAACAAGAGCUUAGAAGCUUGCAGAGAAAGAGAAAAAAGUAGAAGAAAUCUCUGUAAAAAAUAAAUUGUGGGGGGACUUGCAUGUAUUACUACAAGAAAACGCGAAUCUCUUAACCAAAUUUACCAACGGAAAUUCUGUUGGCAAAUUACCAACCGAAAAUCUGUUGGCAUAUUGGACAUCUCACUGAAGUCAACACACCAAGUUUCCGUUGCAAAAUUACCAAAGGAAUGUAUAUUUCCGUUGGUAACAGUUUACCAACCAUGAUAUUACUAACAGUUUAUUCCGUUGACACUUCGUUUUGCCAACGGGAAUUUGUGUUUACCCAAUGGAAAAUUCCGUUGGGGAAUUCGCGUUUUUUUGUAGUGUGGAAACUGCAGAAGCAUGGAAGUGAUCUGAUAAAGGUACGAGAAUAAUGAGUCUUUAAAAGUAAUGAGGCUUUAAAAGAUGUGUUUAUUGAUUAUAAGUAAAAAUUUAUUUAUAAAUGAAAAUUAACUUUUAAUUUAUGUGUUUUGAUUUUUUUUAUAUUUAUAGGGUAUAAAAUUUUAUAAUAUAAUAACAAAUUAUCUUUUAAAGUGGUCCUUUACUUCUUUGUAAAAUGAAAUUUCAAAAAUAAAAAUAAGUCACUGAAAAAGUUAAGAUUUUUUAGCUUCUCAUAUUCUGCCUUUUAAGUCAGAAGUUCAUACACAAACAAUACGAAUGAGUUACUUCUGACUUAUAAGUCUAAAUGAUGGGCUUUUAAGCCGUCCCAAUCUUUUUGUCCGCCUUAUUAAGAAAAUCAAGGGAUAAUUAAUUCAAACGUCCCUGAACUAUAGUCUGUUUAUUGUCUAGGUCCCUAUCCUAUUUUUCUCAAUAUUGCGAUCCUUAAACUUUCAAACUUUUCUGAUUCGCAUCCUUCCGUUAAAAAUCAACUAACAGACGUUAGUCAAUGCUUAUGUGGCAGAUAAAAAAAUAAAAUUAAAAAAUUAUCAAGUACCAGUUUUAGUAGCAUAAGUACACAUGUCAUUAACAAUAUCUUCACUCCACAAUAAUUGACAAUUAUCAAGUGACUCACCCUCCUUGUGCCAAUAUAUCUUAUAGUUUUUAUACCCAAGCCUCUUCUCUACCAAAUCUUUACAUGAAUCAAGACAAAUUGUAUCUAUGCUCUGGCAGUAAACUAGUUCUACUUUACCUUCUUCAUAGAGCCGUAUGCGAUUUUUGUAAGUAAACACUCCCCCAUGAUAAAUUCGAAUAUUGACAUAGUAAAUCCCCAUCCCUGCACAUAUACACACAAUCAAUAAGAGAAAAGUAUAUACAUGUAUAUAUAUGAUCUUGUAUGUCUGUACAUACCUCAUAAGAUAGAAGGAUCGCUGUCAAUCGAACCCUAGUUUAGUGAAUAAAGAAAAUCCCCAAUCGCUCUAGAACCCUAAUUUUCGUGUGUUAGUACGUUGCUUAGCGAAUGUUAGGUGCGUGGAUGUUUUAUUUUUGGACUUAAAUUGACUUAACUUAAAUUGGUUUUAAAAGAUGACAGCUCAGAUUUUAAUUUUUUAAUUUUAUUUUUUGAUCUGCCACGUAAGCAUUGACUAACGUCUGUUAGUUGAUUUUUAACGGAAGGAUGCGAAUCAGAAAAGUUUGAAAGUUUAAGGAUCGCAAUAUUGAGAAAAAUAGGAUAUGGACCUAGACAAUAAACAGCCUAUAGUUCAGGGACAUUUGAAUUAAUUAUCCCGAAAAUCAAUCAAUUAGACUGUAUAGUAGACUAUGCAUGUGAAUCUAGAGCACUUGUGAAGAGAUACAAUCUGCAUUAGAAAGUCUGGAUAUGGUUGUAAAGUUGAACAAUAUUAGUUUGGCCAGAAAGAACUCAUUUGAGCAAGAGGAGUUUGUUUGAAAGGACAGACUUAGAGGCCCUUCAUUCAGAAAUUACAAAAAAAAUUUUUUCAAAUGAGAAAGAUCAGCUUCUUGAAAAUUAACUUAUCUAUUCGUCACCACAAUAAUUCAGAAACGAAGUAAUCAUCUAUAAAUUAAACUUUGAUUAACAAAAAUAUAUAACUAUAUUAAACUGCAGAAACUUCAGCUUCAAAUUGGGAAUUUUUUACCUAAGAAUUUGUCUUAUACAUGAACAAACUUGGUGUCAAUAAGAAAUAAAGAAAAUGACUUUUGAAAUCUGGUGCCUCUAAUGCAAACAUUACAGCAUCAAUGUAUAAAAGUUUUCAUAAUAGAACUAGUACAAAGUUGCAUUAUGAAAGAUGAAGAUACAAACUAGAGACUUAAUGAGAAAAACUGAUAUCAGAUUUAGAAGUGAUCAUGNAAAAAAAUAAAAUUAAAAAAUUAUCAAGUACCAGUUUUAGUAGCAUAAGUACACAUGUCAUUAACAAUAUCUUCACUCUACAAUAAUUGACAAUUAUCAAUUGACUCACCCUCCUUGUACCAAUAUAUCUUAUAGUUUUUAUACCCAAGCCUCUUCUCUACCAAAUCUUUACAUGAAUCAAGACAAAUUGUAUCUAUGCUCUGGCAGUAAACUAGUUCUACUUUACCUUCUUCAUAGAGCCGUAUGCGAUUUUUGUAAGUAAACACUCCCCCAUGAUAAAUUCGAAUAUUGACAUAGUAAAUCCCCAUCCCUGCACAUAUACACACAAUCAAUAAGAGAAAAGUAUAUACAUGUAUAUAUAUGAUCUUGUAUGUCUGUACAUACCUCAUAAGAUAGAAGGAUCGCUGUCAAUCGAACCCUAGUUUAGUGAAUAAAGAAAAUCCCCAAUCGCUCUAGAACCCUAAUUUUCGUGUGUUAGUACGUUGCUUAGCGAAUGUUAGGUGCGUGGAUGUUUUAUUUUUGGACUUAAAUUGACUUAACUUAAAUUGGUUUUAAAAGAUGACAGCUCAGAUUUUAAUUUUUUAAUUUUAUUUUUUGAUCUGCCACGUAAGCAUUGACUAACGUCUGUUAGUUGAUUUUUAACGGAAGGAUGCGAAUCAGAAAAGUUUGAAAGUUUAAGGAUCGCAAUAUUGAGAAAAAUAGGAUAUGGACCUAGACAAUAAACAGCCUAUAGUUCAGGGACAUUUGAAUUAAUUAUCCCGAAAAUCAAUCAAUUAGACUGUAUAGUAGACUAUGCAUGUGAAUCUAGAGCACUUGUGAAGAGAUACAAUCUGCAUUAGAAAGUCUGGAUAUGGUUGUAAAGUUGAACAAUAUUAGUUUGGCCAGAAAGAACUCAUUUGAGCAAGAGGAGUUUGUUUGAAAGGACAGACUUAGAGGCCCUUCAUUCAGAAAUUACAAAAAAAAUUUUUUCAAAUGAGAAAGAUCAGCUUCUUGAAAAUUAACUUAUCUAUUCGUCACCACAAUAAUUCAGAAACGAAGUAAUCAUCUAUAAAUUAAACUUUGAUUAACAAAAAUAUAUAACUAUAUUAAACUGCAGAAACUUCAGCUUCAAAUUGGGAAUUUUUUACCUAAGAAUUUGUCUUAUACAUGAACAAACUUGGUGUCAAUAAGAAAUAAAGAAAAUGACUUUUGAAAUCUGGUGCCUCUAAUGCAAACAUUACAGCAUCAAUGUAUAAAAGUUUUCAUAAUAGAACUAGUACAAAGUUGCAUUAUGAAAGAUGAAGAUACAAACUAGAGACUUAAUGAGAAAAACUGAUAUCAGAUUUAGAAGUGAUCAUGCGCCAAACUCAUCACUGACACAACUGAUGGACCAAAUUUCACUAGGAAAAUACCAAAAACAAAGUGACGAAUGACCAUCCCAAACAACCGGAGUUGUUCCUAGCUGAUUUCCAUUCAGGUUAAAGAAAGAACAUGUGUUGAAAACUCCUAAGUGAAGAACACAGACACAGUUACCUGCUCCCCAACCAGUUGUAUCGACGACAGCAGAACUGAACCAACUAAAAAAUAAAGAUUUUGCACCCAAGUCAUGAAUCUGUUUUGCUCUAUCCAUUGUCUCAUGGUCAAUUUCGAAUAAUGCCAGAUGUCGGUCCACUGCAGGAUAAGGACAACAAUUGAAUACAGUCAUGUAUAGCUUAUUGUCUGAUGCCACCAACUUCAAAUACAUAUCAGAUGAAACCUGGAAAGGGAUGCUGAUUUUGGAGAGCUUUGGAACAGAACCUGCCUUCGGAUUAAAUUCUCCAAAACGUAAAUCUGAAGUCAAAACAAAGAUUUUGCCAUCAAAAAUCUUCACAUCUGCAAUCCUGGCUUCUGUGUCGGAUACAGCAUAUCUCUGCCAACUGCUGCCGCCACUUUUGGACAACAAUAUAUAAUUUUCUGUCAGAGAGAAAAGAACCAUGAAAGUUUCUGAAAGCCGAGUGGACUGAAAUAGGAGAGCAGAAAAUUCAAUGCAGUUUAUGCCACCCAUAUGUCCAGGAAGGACGGGAAAACGCAGCUCAUGUUUUGUAAUUAAAUUUACGAGCCAAAAGCCUAAGUUUCCGUCGGUUGUAAUCAGGUACCCACAUGACAAACCCAAUAAUUUCUUGCAAGGCAAAUCUGGCAGCAUUGUUUUGUAACUUUUCAUAUCGAACAUAUUGUACAAUACACAAGACUUUUUCGAAUACUUUGGCCGAACAACAACUAGGGGUUGCUGGCGCUCCAUACAGUAUUUGCGGAAAGCAAUAGAUGCAGACCUCCAAGAUUUACAAACACCGCUAAAUGACAGGUAGUCCACGAUACUCAACUUUACUAAAAUUGACACCAGAAGUUCAUUAGGAAGAAUGCCCCAUGCUCCCCAAACUGUGUCACCCGAUCUCCUGCAAGUCCUUUUCCGUUUUCUUCCUUCUUUGACUGUUCGUGGAGCAUUCCUGUUAACAAAUAGGGAAACGAAGAACUCACCACAAAGCUAGAUUGAGCAUGCCCAUUCAAAUGAAUUUUAUCUAGAAAGACUCAGUAUUUUUUGUUGAAAACAGAAUGCAUUACUUUUACAGAUGUUGCUUAAGGACAGAUUCAUCCUUUGCAAGAUUUAAAAGAACUUGAUUUAACAGAGAGAGGAGAAACUAGAGUAGGAUUGUUCCUUUUGCCGGCACAGUAAGAAGUUCUGCAGCUAGACAUUAGAAGAUAAUAAAGCUUACUGGAAGCUAAUUCACUGAAGGUGCACAUAUUAAAACGAAAAUCAGUGCAUAGUUUAUGUUAAGGCCACUAAAAUCUAAAAUUUUAAUCAGAACUGGAUUAAGAGUGUGCAUACUCAACAUCUUUCCGAAAUGAGAACUUCAACGCUCCCCAGAAACUUGCUUAUAUCACACCCCAGCACUGAAAAUUCCUACACCACAACUUCCCAGGAACUUGAUAAAGGAACUGGGAGGCCAGUUGGAAAAUUUAGAAUCAAGGUCCAACUGGCAUAUGAUACUUUUACGAUAGCAGUCUAGUUUAGGAGGGCACAAGUAUAUACGUAAUGCAUACUUCAAGAGAAAGUAGGGAACAUUUAGAUUAUAAUUUUAGUAGACAAAUUUUUCUAUAAAAAAUGAGUGAGGUAUAUUCCAUGUUUUUAGUAGAAUCUCUUAGGGAAAGUCCAUUGGUGUGCAAUAUCUUGUUCUAAAAUAGAACAAUGCUAUAGUUUGUUCAAUAUUUAGAACAAAAGAUAGAUGGAGCUAUAAUUGCUGAAGUAUAAAAUGAUGAAGAAAUGUAUAAGAAGGUACUUGAAAGUGCGGGGUCUUUGAAAGUUUGUCAUAUUUAUAUUCAAAAGUGGGAUGUAUUUGGAAGUUGUUUAAAUGUGAAACAAGAUUUGAAACCAACCAUUGGAAAAUCACUUUUUCAUGCUAAAUUAUAGCAAACUCCAUCUAUUUUAGCACAACCAAAUGACUUUAUUCACUUGAGAUUUAGCCAAGACUUUUUUCUCCCCCCUUCCAAGGGGUGCUUAUUCUUUAAUUUGCUGUAUACAUGCACUUUUUGGGACUAGAGAUUUAGCCACACUUUUGAUUGUUACUACGUAAGGCUUUGAUGCCCCAAACCAGGAACUCCAAAACUUCAAGACAAAAUUUAUAAUAUUUACAUAGAGCAAAUUCAGAACAUAUUUACCCGAAAUAGUCGAUUAUCAACCGCCCCGCAAAAAAAUCAACAAUCCGCCUCAGAACAUUAUCACAAAAUGCCUUUUCCAUUCCACCCAAGGAAGGCCUUUCAACCACUUCCAUUCUGCCUUCGUUGAAAAAAUGGGCUGAUUCUCUCAAGCUCUUGUUCUUCCUAAUAACCACAGAAUACAUAAUGGUCAGACUGGAAAUAUCUGGGUUUUCCUUGUGCUUCCUUCAGGCAUUUACUACUACUCUUUAAAAGUUUGUAGAAGGAAUUCAACUUAAAUAUGGAUAAGUACAAAAAAAAGGGGAUAUUCACAGAAAAGAUUUUACUGUCUCCAUCUUUUGACAGCAUGAAACCAGUUCUUUUUUCAGUCUUCAUUUUCUUUUUCGUUAGCAUCAUAAACAUAAAUUUUAAGCAUACGAUAUCCACUAAUUCUGAUUGAACGGCUACGCAGAAAUCCAAAAUGUCAAAAAAUUGGUACUUAUAAUAAACAAAUUAAGUAGGGCAUAUACUGAUGAAUGUCUAAGUUAUGUUACCUACCAAAAUCGCUUUACAACUUAAAUGGUGUUUUAUUGCUUCUUUACAUAUAUAUUCAGCACAAAAAGGUGGACAUGCUCCAAAUGCUGUCUAGUUCCUCAGGUGUUAUGUUUGUGACUGUCUACAGAGUAUCACAGUGACUAACAUAACUAAAGCAACAAUCAACACUGUGAAAUGCUAGUUGGAAGAAUAUUAGCUUGACUUGGGCAGCUACUAGUAAGCCCAAAAUACUUAUUUAAAUUGCAUACGUGAAAGCUUGGCAUGUUUCAUUCAUAAUUAAUUAAUUAUAAUGCUUCACAGACAUUAUAAUUCUUAAUAGAUAUGCGAUACAAUGACAUGUUAAGUAUGACUAGUGUAUUAAGGUUUAUGUUCUAUUUCACACUACCAUGAAAUAAAUUCGGGUUUACAUUCCAGCAAAGUAAUAGUCUAACAGAGGGAGACACAGAGAAGAAGAAGAGGAGUUAACCAAAUUGAUUUUUAUCCUACACAGUAUAUUUUAUUUAUAAGCAUGUCACACUAAUUUGUUCCAGAACAUUCAGUAAAUAUGUGAGAAUCCAUAUUAUGAUUGCCUUAAUAUUAACAAGUCUCAGAUCAUACACCGCAAUUUAUUGAUCUGAUCAAGUCAAGAUUUAGUUUCAAAUUAAGCUAGAUAUCAUAAAAACAAGAUAAUAUUGAUAUGUAUUGGAUUUAAACAGUAAAUUAAAGGAAACAAUCAAGUAAAACAGAUCAGAAAAUUAACAUUACCACACUAUCUGGCAGGUUUAAAAACUUAUUCAAUAUACUUAUUACAUUACAUGAAUAAAAUUAAAGUAUUGGAUUUCUAUUUAUCAAAUCAUUCAAGAGAAGGCUCUGGCUUCUACAGUUUCGCUUUAUCAAUUCCUUCCUACCGGUCCUCGGAUUAGACUAAAUUAAGCUCACAUCUACUUGUGAAGUUCAGCAAAUCAAAAAUUAACAUUACGCUAGUAAACAAAAUCUACAAUCAUCUAAAGGGAAGAUUUACUUGUUAAAAAGAUAAUGCGGGCACAAACUGAACAAAAUGGCAAUGGAACUCGCCAACUCACCUGAGAUUACCCUAGUCCGCCGCAAAUCGCCCUCCACUAGUGCUCUCAAACUUUCUUAAAUAAAAAGAGAGACCUGGUUUGACAUAGGAUAAUAUAUAUGGUGAGAUGGACGGUCAGGAUAAGGUGAUGGGUUGGUGAGAUUGGACGGUCAGGAUAAGGUGAUGGGUUGGUGAGAUUGCAUCAUAUGACGACACAUGUUAGUAUGGAUGUACACCACUAUGGAUCCUUUGAGGUGGGCCGGAUCGAGAUCACUACCCCUAAGGCCUAUUACAUUGACCAAUGACCGGAUAACGGUGAGGGACUAAUAUAUUUUAAAAAAUACUAUGAUCCAUAUAUUUACUUAAUCGCAGAUUCACUUUUAUUUUUAUCGAAUGAGUUCAUGUAUCUGAGCAAGUUGUGACCAUAUUGUUGUUUCCACGGAGCCAAUGGGGUCAAAUCUAAUAAUUCUUUGUCCAUUUUCCAUAAGGUUAAUGAUGCAUAAAUGUAAUUAGUGUGUAACACUAAAUACGUCGGUCACAACUUGCUCACAUACAUGAACUCAUUCGAUAAAUACAAAAGUGAAUCCGGAAUUAAGCUAAUAUAUGGAUCAUAGUAUUUUUCGAAAUUAUAUUAUUCUAUCAGCGUUAUCCGGUCCGGUCAUUGGUCAAGUAAUAGGCCUUGGGGGUAGUGAUCUCGAUCCGGCCCACCUCAAAUGAUCCAUAGUGGGGUACAUCUAUACUAACAUGGGUCGUCAUAUGGUGCAAAUCUCACCAACCCAUUUCCUUAUCCUGAUUGUCCACAUAAUCAUAUAUCUUAUCCUGUAUCAACCUAGGUCUCUUAUUUAUUUAAAAAAUAUUGAGAGCACUACAGGAGGGCGACUUCCCGCAGACUCGGGUAAUUUCAGGUGAGUUGGCGUGUUCCUUUGCCAUUUUUGUUCAUUUUUUGUCCUGUACUAUCUGACUAUCGAAUCAACAAGUAAAUCUUCCCUUUAGAGGAUUGUAGAAUUUGUUUACUAGAGUGAUAUUAAUUUUUGUUUUGUUAGACAUCACAACUAAAUAUCAGCGUAAUUUAGUCUAAUCCAGUACCAGUAGGAAGGUAUUGAUAAGAUGAAAUUAUAAGAAGCCUGGGCCUUCUCUUAAUGAUUUAAAUAGCACCUGAGCAUUAUCCAAGUACAAUGCUUAUCUUUCCAAAGCAACAUUCAUUAUGUUUAAACAUUCGUUUGGAACCGGUCACAUUUACAAAUUAAAAGUGGCUUAAUGUGCCGCAGGGCUCGCCAAAUGUUCAACAUUGGGUCUGUCAGCGCUAGGUGAUCAAAACUACCGAUGGUACAAAGCAAAUAUGUCCAUCCAUGGCCAAAGCAUGCUGUAUUUAAUUUUGCACCCAAAGUUUUAAAUUUUCGUAUUAUUGUUUCUUAAAACCUUGUCUUUCUAUACUGAUCUUCUGUAUUGAUGACCUAUUUGUUAUCGUUAUCAAAGAAGUUGAAAACCAGAAAGUAACCAAUACACAAGAACACUCCCAACAUGACAAUAAAAUAUGAUUUGUGUAGAUUUAGCGUGAAACAGCACACUGGAUUUAACAAAUAAAACCACUACUAUAAACUAAUUACAAGAAUCGCUCACACCUGUAUCCUUCUAGACCAUGCCCUCAUUCUCUGUUCUAGAUUAUCGCGUCCUUGCAUAACAUUUGCUUCUAGAGACCAAAACUCUCGAAUAUUACAAGUGAAUGUAUCCCAUCCAUUGAUUGGUCCGAAAGAUCCAGCAUAAUAAUUUACCAUGAACAACCACCGUACAUAAGCCUGUCAUCAAACACCAAACCAGACCUUGGUGAAAACCUUGUUCAAAAUUAGAUUGUCAGGAAAUUUGGGUGCAAGAUAGUAAAUUUGUCUACAAUAUUUGUAAGUUCCAAUAAGAUGAGAUGGAAAUGUAAAUAAAACACACGCACAAUGUAUAUAAAUAACAAACUUGACCAAAAAUGAUGAUCAAAAAACAUGAAAGAUUGAUGGGUUUAUACCAAAAAUACAAACCAUCUGAAAUUUGCAGCGCAAAAACAUGCAUCCCAACCCAUUGAUUAAAAGAUUCCACACAAAAGUCUCUUGCGUUAACAAACUUAAGGGCAAACCCAACUGGAUCCAAAAAUCCACAUUUGAGAAGAAUCAUCCCAAAUUCUCCUCCAGCGUGAUCUAGUGGAUCAAUGAAUAGUACUGGUUCAGUGAAUUUGUAUCACUACAUUCAAAUUUGGAUCACCUAAAUUUAUUAUAAAAUAAUGAUUUUGUUAAUAUUUCAAUAUCUUUCGGUUAUCGGAUUUAAAAUUAAGUUGAUGAUUAUUAAUAUUAAAAUUUAUAAUAGUUUAUAAUUAAUAAUUAAUAAAAUUAAUGUUUUAGUAAAAAGUUAAAAUAAUAGGAAAACAAAUUUCAUUGAAAUUAAAAAAAGACUACAUUACAUGCAUAAAAUAAAAAGUACGUAAUAUGCAUAAAAUGAAAUUAUAAUAUUGGCAAAUGACUAGAAAACAGUACGAUAAAUAUAAAUUUUGAUGUGAUCAAAUAGAUUAUUUUUGUUUCCUCCGAGAUAAUCAAAAUAUUGUGCGUGACUAUUCGUAUCAUUUUGGGAUCCUUGAGCUUCAUCUUCAUUCCCUUGAUUUUGAGUUGUUGAACGUGCAUUUGGAGUACUCAAAUCACAUUUUGUAAUUGUUAUCGAACCAUCACACUUUUGGAGUAAAAAUGUAGUCCAAGAUAUAGAGACUACAUGCAUUAAUGUAAUUUGUUUAUUAAUUCAAAAUAUUAAUAGUUGUUUCUCUUUUGUAUAAAAUCAACAAAAAAAUCUUAUUUUGUUUAAUAAUAUUAGCAAUUAAGUAUAUAAUUUAAACAUUAAAUUUAAGUUUAUAUAGUUUAUUAUAAAAUUUAUGUAAUAUAAUAUACAAAAUGUAAUUUGGAUCACGCUAUUGGAGUUGGUUAGAAUUUUGGAUCAGUCAGUGAUCCAAUUUUGGAUUUUUAGAUCACAACUACGGCAGAUGAUGGCCUAAGAAGAACUCAACAAAGGAAGAAACUCUGUAGGGAUGGAGCCUGGUUGCCGAUGCUUAAAAGUAGGAGAAAAGGCACCGCAUAUCAUAAAUUGUUAAAUAUCCUCAAUAUCUAAUACCAAGCCAAGACACAUAAUGAUGUAUAUGGAUUUGUGCUUUUAACGACUAAACGUUACUCCUUUUAUCUCAAAAUAAGUGACGCUUUAAUUUUUUGGUAUAAAAAAAACAUACUUUCACAAAUCAUUUUUCAAAUUUUCUUUUUCUGAAUAAAAAUAUAGAUGUUAAAGCUUUAUUCUGAAAAAGAAAUUUUGAAAAAUGAUUUGUGUAAGUAUAUUUUUUUCCCACCUCAAAUUACGUGAAAAAAAUCAAAACGACACUCAUUUUGAGACGGAGAGAGUAUAUUAUGUUAAGUUUUUUUGAGGAUUUUAGUCGUUUUUCUUGUGAGCUUGGGGAAAAAAAAGGUUAAACUCUAUAUUGUGCAAUGUCUUAAAAAAAGUUAUAAAUGUUAGACGUGUAAUGUUAUAAAGUGAUUUUGGAUCCAUAUUUUUUUUAGACCUGAUAUUUGAGGUAUUAUUGUAUAAAAUUAUGAUAAACAGGGUCAACACAUUCAAUAGUAGUCAUUUUCUACCUUAAAACUAAUUGAGGAGCUAAAGAUAAAAUAUCAAAAUACCAUGAUUUUUAUACAUCACUUUUAAAAUUAAUGAUCAAGAAUAUUACUCUAUUUAUCUUUUUGAGAAUGAGUGACCGAUUAAUUACAAUAUUUGAUGUUUAUAAUUUUUUUAUGGAUAAUUGAUAAUAUAGAUGGUAGUAUUGUGUGUUAAAUAAACGGUAACAUAUAUGUGUGGUUAGUUGUGCGGUUCUGUAUAUGAUUAAAUAUUUUGGAUAAUGAAAAAUAGAAUUUUAAGAAGGUUAUAGUUCUGAGAGUGAGUAUUGUGAUAACCUACUGUAAAAAUGCGUGUCGGUCUUUCUAAAAAUUAAAAAGUUAAUUUAUAUGGGACAUCCAUUUUGAUAAUGAAUAUAUGGGGAUACUCAUUUUAAAAAAGCAUAUGAGACUAUAAGAGUGGUAUUUUUUACCAUCUACUUAAAAAAUGAUUUUCUUCUAAAAAAACUUUAAAAUAUGAUAUCUUUGGCUUUCACGUACCCGGACUAACUAAAUAAUCUAUCAAAUUCUUAUUGAGUAAAAAAUUUACCAUUAAAAGUCGGCUUGAUUUGAAGUAUUUCCUUAGCAUUGAGGUUGUUAGAAUUGAAGCCAGAAUUUCCCAGUCAAUUGUAUACGUUUUUUUUCACUGCUUGACACGUUUUUUAAGGUUCUUAUAUAACGUAGUUCCACAACUUAUUUUUAAAAUUUUCUUUUUUUUAUAAAAAUAUAUACAAAAAAGAAAAUCUUAAAAAUAAUUUACAGACUAUACUAUUGAAGAAUUAAAAUCCAUGCCGCGUCCGUACCCAUUUAUACUAUUGAGCGGGACGGAGAGGGAGUAGCUAAUACUCACUUUGGCUGAUUGUACACCAGCUGCUUUUCCAUUAUUAAAAGGCUUGCAUCCAAGUACAAAGGAUGUUUCAAAGUUGCCUGACCCAGAAGUGUAUAGAAGAUUUAUCGAAAAAUUGCACUAUUUGAACUCAAGUAGGUUUGAUAUUUCAUAUGUUGUUCAACAACUUUUUUAAUUAGUUUCACCAAGAACCAGCUCAUCAGCCACAUUAUGAUGUUGCUCUUCAUGUCUUAAAAUAACUUGAAAAUUUCAUUGAAUGUUGGUGUGUUUUACAAAGCUAAUACUCCUCUGCAAUUAACUGCAUAUUUAGAUGCAGACUAGGGAACUUGUUCAUUUUCUGCAAAAUCCUUGUCUGGGUAUGCUAUUUUCCGGGGUUCUUCCUUAGUUUCUUGGAAAAUUAAGAAGCAAAAAAAGUAUCUAAAAGUAGUACAGAAGCUGAGUAUAUAAGUAUGAGCUAUACAACUUCUAAGUUGAUUUAUCUUAAAGGUUUUUUAAGGGAUCUUUGUGAUCAAAUUCCUUUGCCAAUUGAUCUUUAUUGUGAUAACACUUCAGCUCACCACAUUGCAAAGAAGCAAAUCUUCCAAGAAAGAACUAAACAUUUGAAGAUUAACUGUCAUUUUAUUCUAGAUUAUGUUGAUUCUGAGUUCAUUCGAAUUUCACAUAUUAGUACUUUCAUUGAGCUAGCUGAUAUACUGACAAAGCCACUGGAUGCUGCUCAUCACAAGUUUCUUAGUAUCAAGCUUGGUCUUCAAUUUGAUCCUCUUUGAUGCCUAGCUUGAAGGGGGUAUUGAUCUAUGUACAUGUAUUGUAAAUAAAUGUUCUAGACGCUUCCAGCUACAUUUUUAUUUAGAGUAGUUACAGGAAUAUUCUAUUUGAUUGUAAAUACAGCUGAUGGAGCAACAAGUCAAUUUUAACAGUUUCAUUCUGUUCAUUCUCUCUCUAACAAACUUGAAUCACACUAAUGAAAAUCAAAUAAGCUUUAUCUUAAUAUUUUCCGCUCCCUUAAUGCGCUGAAAGUGCUAUGUGACGGGAUUUCUCUUCUCCCAAAACAGUGUGCAAUUGUUGAUUGAAAAAUAUUUAACUUUUAGGCACUAGAGGAUGAUGAAGCUUUUUGCUGAUCAACACUUGAGAGGCAGUUUCUCUGUCUCGGUACCACUAAAUACAUGCUUCAGACAAGGAUUAGAAGGUUGAUUUUAUGUUUGAUUAUGUUAAAAACUCAAAUAACUGGACACCUAACUAUUAAAGGCAGAGCUAUCAGACAACUAAAAAUUUUGAUCAUCCUUGGUAUUUGUAGGGCAAGUUGUGUCUUGGUAAGCAGAGACACAUAUCCCAAACUUCUCCAACCUUGCUAUACAUUCUGUAUUUGUAGGACAUCACCAUGUGCUACUGACUUAUUAUUUCAUUUUCAGUGUUCAAAAAACCUUCUAUAUAAACAUAGGUAUUUGUAUAUAAACCUUCUAUAUAAACCUUCUAUAUAAACCUUAUUAUUUCUGUGAUCAUAUUUACUCUGAGACCGAAAUUGAUCAAGCAUCGACCUGCAGAAGAUACUUGGCAAGGUAUAACAAUAAUGCUUCAAGUUACGAUUCUGUUUGCUUUAAGUUAAAUCUGCAGCACAUGCAUUAUUUCAUUUAUGUUAUGUCAGCUUGUCUUGUUUAUUGAGCUUGACUCAAGAAAUGAUAUUAGAAAGAAAACGUUGUAGUUAUAAUUGUCAGAUUGUAUUCAUUAUUGAGCAUUAUUUAUGAAAUGGUAUCAAAAACAUUUUCAACAAUAGCCAUUUCAGCAAACAAAUCUCCUGUAUUUCCAUCGCGAAGAUGCAUAAAAAGUGGUCAAUUUAUAAACAAUUUAUAUCUCCUAGUUAUAUCCUUUGACCGGAUUAUUUAGCUUCAAAAUGCCAGCAAUUAAAUCAACAUUUGCAUCUAAUUGUGUGUAAGAAGUAUGGCUUCCUGAAGAAAUUGAAAGCAUUAGCAAUAUACUAACUUUCUUUUGGAUUUUUUUGUAGAAGAAUUAUGUUGAUUAAAUCUUUUCUGACAGUCAACUUAUUUCCAGUGGUUUCUAUUUCUUCAUGUAUUAUUUGCAUAUACAGCAAAACAAUUAGCAGCGACGUCUAUGGAUAUAAAGAAGUUGCUGGAUAUCUAGUAGGUGAAAAAUACAUUGUCACAUGAAGACCUAAUUUGUGAACCCCGCCAUAAAAUUAUUGACAACAAAACUAAAUUAUGCCUCUAUGAAAAUUGUUGGACAUCAGGCGUCCAUUUCAAGAAAAUGUCACUUUCUGUAAUCUAUUGUGGAUGAUUUGCGUAGAGAUUGAUAAGUAGGGGCAUGCUGUCUUGCAACAGACAGAGAAGUCAUUCUAUCACUCAUAAAUUUAUGUAGCAAUUGAAAGAGAAAAUCAUGUGCUAUUGUCUAAUGCCUCCUCACUACUUGAUGUACAAAUUGAUGAACUGUUCAACAUUUUCUAUAUUUCUAUAUAAAUACACAACGGGGCAUUAGUAAAAUUCAUCACAAACGCAAUCAUCUAAAGUCUUCAUUAUCAAGUUCUUUUCUUUCUCCAUAUUCUCUAAACAAUCUAGGAGUAUUAUGGGUAUUCGUAUGCCUCGUGUUACUAAUCUCAAGAAAAUCCUUAACCAGUCAUCAUUCUUGUUAAGUCCCGAUUAUACUUCAACAGUUCCAAAGGGAUGCUUGGCAGUAUAUAUUGGGGAGAAGCAAAGAAGAAGAUUUGUGGUUCCCAUUUCAUGCCUGAAUGAUCCUGCCUUCCAAGAUCUGUUAAAUCAAGCUGAUGAAGAAUUUGGGUUCAGCCAACCAGAAGGCGGCCUCACUAUUCCCUGCUCAGUGGACACAUUCAUUCACCUUACUUCACGCCUAGAUAGAUUAUAGUGAGAAAACAUUUGUGUACUGGUAGAUAGUACAGCAUUGAAAUGUACAUAGUAGAAUAGGGAUUUUUAUCAGAUUUUUGUUGGCAACGCAUAAUUUGAAACUCACCACUUUGUCCGAUCU
rnacentral:lncRNA from 1 species